rnacentral:sRNA from 1 species
GGCUGGGCUCUGGGAACCACAUUUGUGCUCUGCAAACUGGCUUCCUCUUAGGCUCUGUCAAUGGAGGAUGCUGAGUGGGCCUGUUUAAAUCGGAGGCAGCGGGAAAGCACAAAAAUAACUGUGAGGAAAAGAGACGUAUCUCCUGGGCUCCUGGAAAUGUGAGGCUUGGCACUGCAGAGCUGGGUCGGGAGCACACAGAGGAGCACCGAUGUCAGCUGGGAGCCCAGGCGCACCCAGAGAAUCCUAGUUUCUGUGUCAAGUUGACAUCAGAGUAGCCAGCACGAUUAACACACCAGAGAAGAGGAUGAUAUGAACGUCUCCCAGAUGAGUAUUAAAACUUUGUAUUUCCCUUUGGAGGCGAGGAUCCAAUGCUCUUGUCUGAGGAGUGAAUGUUUGCUCUGUUUUGUUAGGCAGAGAGACAGCAAGAACACCCAAGAGAAGUCUGAAGACAAAAGCAAGCUACAUCGUGGUUUGGGAGAACGCUGCUGUAUUGAAGGCUUGGUCCCUAACGCAGCAGUGUUCAAAGAUGAGGCCUUUGGGAGGUGAUGGGGUCUUGAAUGGCUUCACCUCAUGACUAAAGUAACAUUGUUUAUGGACUCAUGGCUUCAUGGGUUUGAAGGAUCUGAUGGCUUCCUCUGGCCUCUGCAGGCACUACAUGCCUAUGGUGCACAGACAUACAUGCAUGCAGAAUACGGCACACAUAAAAUAAAAGUAAAGGUUAACUUUUUCUACUUCCUGGCCAGCAGAACAUGAGCAGUUUCGUUCUCUCACAUGUUUCCUCCCACAGUGUUCGGCCUCACCAUAGACCCAGUUGGUAGGGCCAAGUGAACAUGGGUUGAAACCUCUAAUGCUGUGAGUCAAAAUAUUUUCUCUUUGAGUCGAUUUUCUCUGAUAUUUUGAAACAGCAACGAAAAGCAGCCCAGGAGAGGAGGGUGCAAAUUCCCAUUGUGCCUACCCUGGUGCCUUGUAUUUUAUCCUUUCUCCCCCUCAGAAUUACCUCGGAUAUUUUUAGACAUGUCUUUACUCUUUCUUAUGAAUUUUGGGUUCUAUGAGUUGCACAUUAAAUCUUUGUUAAGUUUAGCUUUUUCAAAAUUAACCUUUACUUUUGUGUCAUGUGUGCCGCGUUCUGCAUGCAUGUAUGUCUGUGACCAUAGGCAUGUAGUGCCUGCAGAUGCCAGAACAAGGUAUCAGAUCCUUCAUAACUGGAGUUUGAGAUGGUUGUGAAGAAAGGCAGACUCUGUGAGUUUGAGGCGAGCCUAGUCUAUAUGGGGAGUUCCAGGUCGGCCAGGGCUAUGUAGAAAGACUCCGUCUCAGAAAACAACAACAACAACAAAACAACAACAAUGACAACAACAACAAGAAUUGAAUUUGAAGGUUUAUCCAGGUGGACAAAUGACAAGUGGCAACACUAUCGUUUGUUGAGUUUUGGAAGUUAAAUAUCUGAAGAGAAGUGCAAAUGACUGAGCACACAAAGCAAUGUGCUGUGCUAAUUAUUGUCUAGCUGCCCUCUCUUAGCUCCAAACCACCCGUGUCUACUCUGCAAGUCUCUGCCUUGCCAAAACAACUUCCCAUUCGUGAGCGGAUAGGAGGAGAGUGGAGAGCAAGACGGGGCUGGAUCCUUCCUUGGGGUUGUCUGAGUUUAUGAACAUCACCCCAAUCCUUCUUCACCCUGGCCACAGCGGAUGCCCCUGUGGGUUGUCUGAAGACGAUUGGCAGCUUUCCCAUUCUUUUUUUUUUUUUUUUUUUGGUUCUUUUUUUUUUUCGGAGCUGGGGACCGAAAGCUUUCCCAUUCUUGCAGACCAACCCCAUCCUGCUUCAGUUAAAGAUCAUAGUAAUAGAGCCGAGAAGCGCCCCUUCUUGGAGAUUGAGCUUCACUCCGCAGGGAUCCUUAGCUUGAGUGAUCAUUUAAACACCUUCCCUUGGUUCUCCCACCCCAAGCUCCUCGAAUCGCUGCCUCCGAUACUUUGAUAUCCUUUUCUCGCCUGCGUGCAUCAUCUAUCCAGGCUCAAAGCCGUGCAGCGGAUAUGUCUGUCUGCGCAUGCUCGAGGCUCAGCCAGUGUUUCUAUCAUUUUUAUUGAUAUAGAUAAGGAACCUAGCCCGCAAAGCAAUUAAGUCACCUUCCGUUGGUCACAGAGCUGGUGACAGUCAGACUUUCAGAGAUAUAAUAGUUGUUAGCAAGGGCUGGAGAGAUGGCUCAAUUCUUAAGAGCAUUUGCUACUCUUGCAGAGGACCUGGGUUUGGUUCACGGCACAGGUAUGGUAAUUUACAACAACCACCUAUACUCCAGGUUUGGUACCCACUUCUGGUUUCCAUGGGCACUGCAUGCAUGUGGUGAACUUACAUACACUCAGGGAAACGCACUUUUACCCACAGAAAUAUAAAUAAAUCAGUAUUUUUUUUUAACUUACAGCAGGGCUGGAGA